rnacentral:rRNA from 1 species
UAUUAAGCCAUGCAUGUCUAAGUAUAAGCAAUUAUACAGCGAAACUGCGAAUGGCUCAUUAAAUCAGUUAUCGUUUAUUUGAUAGUACCAUACUACUUGGAUAACCGUGGUAAUUCUAGAGCUAAUACAUGCUAAAAACCUCGACUUCGGAAGAGGUGUGUUUAUUAGAUUAAAGACCAAUGCCCUCCGGGGCUCACUGGUGAUUCAUAAUAACCUCUCGAAUCGCACGGCCCUGCGCCGGCGAUGGUUCAUUCAAAUUUCUGCCCUAUCAACUUUCGACUUUAGUGUAGUGGACUAAAGUGGUUGCAACGGGUAACGGAGGGUUAGGGCUCGACCCCGGAGAAGGAGCCUGAGAAACGGCUACUACAUCCAAGGAAGGCAGCAGGCGCGCAAAUUACCCAAUCCCGACACGGGGAGGUAGUGACAAUAAAUACUGAUACAGGGCUCUUUCGGGUCUUGUAAUUGGAAUGAGUACAAUUUAAAUCCCUUAACGAGGAACAAUUGGAGGGCAAGUCUGGUGCCAGCAGCCGCGGUAAUUCCAGCUCCAAUAGCGUAUAUUAAAGUUGUUGUGGUUAAAAAGCUCGUAGUUGAACCUGGGCCCCGCGCCCGCCGGUCCGCCUCACCGCGUGCACUGGCGCGGCCGGGGCUUUCACUUGGGGAACCGCAUGCCCUUCGCUGGGCGUGCGCGGAACCAGGACCUUUACUGUGAAAAAAUUAGAGUGUUCAAAGCAGGCCUAUGCUCGAAUACAUUAGCAUGGAAUAAUAGAAUAGGACGCGCGGUUCUAUUUUGUUGGUUAUGGGACCGCCGUAAUGAUUAAUAGGGCCAGUCGGGGGCAUCAGUAUUCAAUAGUCAGAGGUGAAAUUCUUGGAUUUAUUGAAGACUAACUACUGCGAAAGCAUUUGCCAAGGAUGUUUUCAUUAAUCAGGAACGAAAGUUAGGGGAUCGAAGACGAUCAGAUACCGUCGUAGUCUUAACCAUAAACUAUGCCGACUAGGGAUCGGGCGAUGUUACAUUCUGACUCGCUCGGCACCUUACGAGAAAUCAAAGUCUGUGGGUUCCUGGGA